GUGCCAGCAGCCGCGGUAAUACGUAGGGCGCAAGCGUGUCCGGAUUAUUGGGCGUAAAGAGCUCGUAGGCGGCUUGUCGCGUCUGCUGUGAAAGCCCGGGGCUUAACUCCGGGUGUGCAGUGGGUACGGGCAGGCUAGAGUGCAGUAGGGGUAACUGGAAUUCCUGGUGUAGCGGUGAAAUGCGCAGAUAUCAGGAGGAACACCGAUGGCGAAGGCAGGUUACUGGGCUGUUACUGACGCUGAGGAGCGAAAGCAUGGGGAGCGAACAGGAUUAGAUACCCUGGUAGUCC
rnacentral:rRNA from 1 species